GAGGUUUACCACAUGCUCAUUUUUUAAUCAUUUUAGACCGUGCAUCCAAAAUCAUUGCUCCUGAAUCUGUAGAUAAAUUUGUCAGUGCUGAAAUUCCAGAUAGACAAACUUACCCUCAUUUAUACUCUGUUGUUGUUGCUCACAUGAUACAUAGUCCUUAAGGCAUUUUAAAUCAAACAAAUGUAAGCAUGAAUAGAAAUAAAAAUGCAGAAGUCAUUUCCCAAAGGAUUAUGCCCCAAAGACAUUGUUAGGUGAACUUUCAUAUCCAACGCAUAGACGUUUAAAUAAUGGGAGAAAAGUGAAAGUUAGAGGACAAUGAUUAGAUAACAGAUGGAUUGUGCCUUACAAUCCAUAUCUCUUGGCUAAACUUAAUUGCCAUAUAAAUGUAGAAAUUUGUUCAACCAUCAAAGCUGUGAAAUAUUUGUAUAAAUAUGUAUACAAGGGACAUGAUAGAAUUGGUUUCUCAGUGCAUUCUGAGGAAGAUGUGGUUGACGAGAUUAAAAAUUUUCAGACAGCUAAAUGGAUUUCACCUCCUGAAGCAUUAUGGAGAAUUUUUGGUUUUAUUCUUUCAAAAUUAAAUACUCCAGUUGUUACUCUUCAAUUACACCUCGAAAAUAAUAAUUUCGUUACAUACAAAAGUUCCAACAAUCUUGAGAAAAUUAUAAGAACAGACUUUUUCAAAAAAACCAUGUUAACGGAAUUUUUUCACAUGAAUAUUGUUGACAAAAAAGCUACGACUCUUUUAUAUAAACAAUUUUCAGAAUUUUUUGUUUGGGACUCACAUCGUAAAUGUUGGAGCCCUAGAAAAAAAAGGUGUUUGUGUUGGUAGAGUAGUAGCAGCAAGUCCAAAUGAAGGGGAAAGAUAUUACUUGCGUCUUUUGUUAAAUCAUAUUAGAGGCGCAACGUCAUAUCGAGCUUUAAAAAUUGUAAAUGGUGUUGAAACAUCGUCUUUUCGGGAAGCGACACUUUUACAUAGUUUACUUAAUGGAGAUGCUAAUUGUGAUUUAUGUUUGCAGGAAGCUUCAAAGUAUCAAACGCCUACUCCAUUUCGUCGUCUUUUAGCAACAAUUCUAACUCUAUGUGCUCCGAAUGAUCCAAAAAAUCUGUGGAACAAAUUCAAAAUUUUUAUGAUUGAGGAUUUCAUACGUGCUGGUAUGUCGUUGCAAAUUGCUGAACUUAAAGCUCUUUUAGAAAUUAAUGCAACUUUAGAACUUUCUGGUAAAUCCAUUAAUAGUUACACUUUUGUAUCAUAUAACGUACAUCUACAUGAAAAUGAACACGUCGCUAGAGUAAUAAAUGAUGAAAUAAGCAUUAAUGUGUCAGAAAUAGAUAUUAUGUGUCAUCGUCAACUUAAUACUGAACAAAAAAUGGCAUAUAAUGCAAUUUUAAGUAAAGUAGACACUAAUGUUAGUGGCAUGUUCUUUGUUGAUGGUCCUGGUGGAACAGGCAAAACCUUUUUAUACCGUGCAUUACUAGGUACUGUGAGGUCAAGACAAUUGAUUGCUUUAGCAACAACCUCCUCUGGUGUUGCAGCUGGUCUUUUGCCUGGUGGACAAA
rnacentral:lncRNA from 1 species